AGCGAACGCUGGCGGCAGGCCUAACACAUGCAAGUCGAACGAACCCUUCGGGGUUAGUGGCGGACGGGUGAGUAACACGUGGGAACGUGCCUUUAGGUUCGGAAUAACUCAGGGAAACUUGUGCUAAUACCGAAUGUGCCCUUCGGGGGAAAGAUUUAUCGCCUUUAGAGCGGCCCGCGUCUGAUUAGCUAGUUGGUGAGGUAAUGGCUCACCAAGGCUACGAUCAGUAGCUGGUCUGAGAGGAUGACCAGCCACAUUGGGACUGAGACACGGCCCAAACUCCUACGGGAGGCAGCAGUGGGGAACCUUGCGCAAUGGGCGAAAGCCUGACGCAGCCAUGCCGCGUGGAUGAUGAAGGUCUUAGGAUUGUAAAAUCCUUUCACCGGUGAAGAUAAUGACUGUAGCCGGAGAAGAAGCCCCGGCUAACUUCGUGCCAGCCGCCGCCUAAUAC
rnacentral:rRNA from 1 species